rnacentral:rRNA from 1 species
CCUACGGGUGGCAUCAGUGGGGAAUAUUGCACAAUGGGGGAAACCCUGAUGCAGCGACGCCGCGUGAGUGAAGCAGUAUUUCGGUAUGUAACGCUCUAUCAGCAGGGAAGAACUUGACGCUACCUGACUAUGAAGCCCCGCCUAACUACGUGCCAGCGGCCGCGGUAAGACGUAGGGGGCAAUCGUUAUCCGGAUUUACUGGUUGUCAAGGGAGCGUAGACGGCAGCGCAAGUCUGAAGUGAAAGCCCGCGGCGCAACCGCGGGACUGCUUUGGACACUGCCCGGCUAGAGUGCUGGAGAGGUAAGCGGAAUUCCUAGUGUAGCGGUGAAAUGCGUAGAUAUUAGGAGGAACACCAGUGGCGAAGGCGGCUUACUGGACAGUAACUGACGUUGAGGCUCGAAAGCGUGGGGAGCAAACAGGAUUAGAUACCCGUGUAGUC